ensembl:lncRNA
GGAGACUUUCAGACAUCCUAUAUUGCAGACAUAAACUGAUUCAGUGAUGGCUGGGAAAUGCUAAUAUCCCCAUUUCAUCUGUGCAGUUUAUAAGAAUGCUGAACAUGCACAUGCUUUCUUCACACAACAUGACACACAACAUGCACAUGCUUUCUUCACACAACAUGACACGCAACAUCCACCAUCACAAGAAGUUACAUGGUGCAUCCAUUAAUAUGCCAACUCCAUUGCUCUUUUAAGUCUGAGUAUAAAUACCCCUGCUGAAAAAAAAACAAUAGAACCCAUGACGGAAAUCCUUAUGGUUUCCUCUACAAAUACCAUUACAGACUACCAGCUAAACAUUAAAACUAUUACCAUCACUGGUCCUUAAUGGUGUCCACUAGACAUAACAUGCUACCAAUAGAAGGCAACAGAUACCAAUAGAGACUGUGAGGGAAAUUAUUCAUUUUUACUUUGUAAUAGUUUUGUUCUUGUUCUAUUUCAUUCUCAUCUGAGGAUAACGCCUAAGAAGGCCAUGUCAUGUCACUGAGAUCAGUACAGAAUGUUUAUCUACUUACAGAGACACAAACACGUUCUUCUGUUCAAGGUUCGUCUGUCCAAGACCCUGAAACAAAGCCUGUUUGAACUGCCUCAAACUGCUUCUUAUCGGUACACAGAAAGGAUGAGUCUGCAAGUGUUGUCUAAUUCCACGACAAUUUGGCUUCUCCUGGCUGGGCUGCGUGAGUCUUUCAGCUUUACUGGACAACAAGCAAACCGGAGGACGCUCGUGGAAAAGUUUCAUCCUGAAGUCCAUGUUGACGCAAAGGCGAUUUGUCCUUUAUUGUGCCGAGCGAAAUAUCGCAUUACCCCUGACUGAGGGAGACGGAGAACCACAUGACUGUGUCGUAUUGACCAACGAAUUCUGCUCUCAUAGAGUCGACCUGAAAGCUUUCAGACCUCCAAACACAGGCUACAAGGACAAGGAAAAGGCUGUGUGGCGCAAAGCAGGCUGCAUGGUUGUUGACGGAGUUUGGCGGUGCCCCAAGAGCUGUCCUUGUCUUCAAAGUUGACGCAUGGCAGGGACCAUCUUUACAGUUUGUGCAACUCAUAACAUGGGUUGAGGUUUGAAGGUAGAGAAGGCCACGUCCCUACGUUCAAACAGGACAUGGCACACCUUUUGUGAGCCAUGCCCUUAAGUAGGUGGGUGAAUAUUUGGGUAUUGAAUUAAAGCAGCACUGUGCAUAUCAUCCAGCUAGUGGUGGGGCGGUAGAGAGAGAAAAUGGGACACUAAAAAACAGACUGAGCAAAUGCUGUUCUGAAACAGGCUUAGGAUGGGCUUAGCACCUUUGGGAUACUGUUUGGGAUACCUCCAUACACAGGAAUUGGACCUGUGACAGUUCCUCUUCCUGAUGCUGCAGCAUAUGAUGAUGCAAUGUUAAAUUACUGUGCAACCCUGUCCUCUGCUCUGCACUCUAUCCACAAGCAGGUAAAGGCAGCACUUCCAGCUCCAGCCACGAGUCCGCUGCAUGAUCUGAAGCCUGGAGAGUAGAUCGUGAUCAAGGACUUCCGCAGGACCAGGUGGAACAAGCCACGGUGGUCUGGGCCAUUCCAGGUUCUAUUUGUCACUCAUUCAGCAGUGAAAGUCAACCAGAGAGCCACAUGGAUGUGUGCGAGCCACUGCAGGAGGGUGCCAGAGCCAAGCAUUGAGCUCUGCAUAUACACACCCACAUAACGUCACACGUCCCCUCAUCAUGCAGACACAUAAUGGUUAUUCUAUCAUUGAACACAGGCGGUCUGCGAUACGCAACCCUCCACAGGCUAGCGAGAUGGGGUUUGAUUGGCUGAACUCAGUACUCGGGGGGUGGGGCUCAUGGAUAUUAACCAUCUGUCUACCAAUAGGUGCAAUAAUUCUUCUUGUCUUGCUCAUUUUGCCUUGUAUCGUUUCUCUCGUUCGGAGCAGUCUCUCACACUCGUUGAAAUCACUAAUGACCAAACGCUGAUGUUGACGAAGACUGAGUCUUUGAUGACCAAUCUGACUUGUAUCCUAAACCUGACUGGGUAUCAGAUCCUCCCAGCGACACUGACGAUGACGACCAAUUGACAUCCAUUUCACACCUAUUGUAAAUAUUCCUUUGACCAUGACGAUUCUCAUUUCACUCUAAGAUAAGCUUGCUUGACGACAGGUUACUUUAAAUCCGCAAAAACAGCCUUAGCAGUUUCAUUAUGUCUGUUUCAUGAUGAAUUCAGUUGAACCGUGAAAGGUUUCUGAAGUUCUGAUGUACUCAUAGAAUAGUAAUUUCUCUGUUAAUUUUAGUUAUCAUAUUUUGUAAUGAUAAAAUGGGGGAAAUGUGAGGGAAAUUAUUCAUUUUUACUUUGUAAUAGUUUUGUUCUUGUUCUAUUUCAUUCUCAUCUGAAGAUAACGCAUAAGAAGGCCAUGCCAUGUCACUGAGAUCAGUACAGAAUGCUUAUCUGCUUACAGAGACACAAACAUGUUCUUCUGUUCAAGGUUUGUCUGUCCAAGAUCCUAAAACAAAGCCUGUUUGAACUGCCUCAAACUGCUUCUUAUCGGUACACAGAAUUAUGUCAUGCUCUGCGUUUCAUAUAUAUAGUAGUGGUUUAGUACAAGGGCUUCAGAGCGCUCUCAUUAUUCUAUCCUACUUUAUUCUAUCCUGUAUUAAACAUCUUUCUGUAAUAAACCUUUUUACCUUCAGAGGACGAGUCUGCGAGUGUUGUCUAAUUUCCACGACAAGCCCCACAGGGAUCAUUACAGUUUCCAUUAAAACCAAUACAAUUCCCAUUAUAACCAUUAAA